GACGAACGCUGGCGGCGUGCUUAACACAUGCAAGUCGAACGGAAAGGCCCUGCUUUUUUGUGGUGCUCGAGUGGCGAACGGGUGAGUAACACGUGAGUAACCUUCCCUUGACUUUGGGAUAACUUCAGGCAACUGGGGCUAAUACCGGAUAUGAGCUCCUGCUGCAUGGUGGGGGUUGGAAAGUUUCGGCGGAUGGGGAUGGACUCGCGGCUUAUCAGCUUGUUGGUGGGGUAGUGGCUUACCAAGGCUUUGACGGGUAGCCGGCCUGAGAGGGUGACCGGCCACAUUGGGACUGAGAUACGGCCCAGACUCCUACGGGAGGCAGCAGGGGGGAAUAUUGCACAAUGGGCGGAAGCCUGAUGCAGCAACGCCGCGUGCGGGAUGAAGGCCUUCGGGUUGGAAACCGCUUUCGCCUGUGACGAAGCGUGAGUGACGGUAAUGGGUAAAGAAGCACCGGCUAACUACGUG
rnacentral:rRNA from 1 species